rnacentral:rRNA from 1 species
GAUGAACGCUGGCGGCGUGCCUAAUACAUGCAAGUCGAGCGAACGGACGAGAAGCUUGCUUCUCUGAUGUUAGCGGCGGACGGGUGAGUAACACGUGGAUAACCUACCUAUAAGACUGGGAUAACUUCGGGAAACCGGAGCUAAAACCGGAUAAUAUUUUGAACCGCAUGGUUCAAAAGUGAAAGACGGUCUUGCUGUCACUUAUAGAUGGAUCCGCGCUGCAUUAGCUAGUUGGUAAGGUAACGGCUUACCAAGGCAACGAUGAAUAGCCGACCUGAGAGAGUGAUCGGCCACACUGGAACUGAGACACGGUCCAGACUCCUACGGGAGGCAGCAGUAGGGAAUCUUCCGCAAAGGGCGAAAGCCUGACGGAGCAACGCCGCGUGAGUGAUGAAGGUCUUCGGAUCGUAAGACUCUGUUAUUAGGGAAGAACAUAUGUGUAAGUAACUGUGCACAUCUUGACGGUACCUAAUCAGAAAGCCACGGCUAACUACGUG